rnacentral:rRNA from 1 species
CUUUUGCUGGCGACCGGCACACGGGUGAGUAACACGUAUCCAACCUGCCCUUUACUCGGGGAUAGCCUUUCGAAAGAAAGAUUAAUACCCGAUAGCAUAAUGAUUCCGCAUGGUUUCAUUAUUAAAGGAUUCCGGUAAAGGAUGGGGAUGCGUUCCAUUAGGUUGUUGGUGAGGUAACGGCUCACCAAGCCUUCGAUGGAUAGGGGUUCUGAGAGGAAGGUCCCCCACAUUGGAACUGAGACACGGUCCAA